rnacentral:lncRNA from 1 species
CCCUGCCUGCGACUGUGUUUGGAGACAGCACCUUUAGAGAGGUGCCCCCGGGGGUGAGGCCUACAAGAAGAGGAAAUCUGGACACAGACAGAUUUCAAAGAUUUUCUCUUUAUGAAGGGAAAAAAUGACAUGGAGCCCCAGGGAGAAGACAGUCACCCACCAGCCCAGGAGAGCCCUGGAAGAAACAGUCGUGUGGAUCCUCACUGUCAGAAUUUUAGCCUCUGAAGUUACGGAGACUAGCAAUGCAGGCUGUGUGAACGGUUCAGUACACAGAGCUCCAGCAAACCGGCACAGACGCCGAAACGGAAGACUGCACGGGUCAGAGUCCCCAGCUCUUACACAGGGGGCAGACGCAGGCCAGCCCUCUGCUAGUUCGGUUUCACCACCAACCUCUACGGAGGACCAAGACCUUUCUUCUGGGGAGGAAGAAGUCUUCUCCAGCCUCUGGGGAAGCCCCUGCCUGUGUCCAGGGCCCCAGCCCAAGCCCUCCUGGUGGAAUGUUCUUCACACAUCCAGCACGAUGUGACCCACCGUUCCCCGGACUCUGCCCACAAAAUCCCCAGAGGUGAGGCUGCCCUCCGUCCUGCUGACCCAGGGCCACUCCUCCAAACUGCAUCAGCUCUCGGUGUUGACCCGCUGUUUGCUCUUUGAGCUCCACCCUGCAUUAAUCAUCUGCUGCCCCAGCUCUUUGAAUUCAGACUUUUGCCGAAAUCCCCAAGGUCUUUCCCCACCAUAUGGACUCAGUCACGUCACAGAUGUCUUGAACUUCCCAUUUCACUUCUCCUGAGCUUGGGCAAACGUGAACAGCCACGAUUAUGCUUUUAUGACAUGGCCGUGGUUGCACGACCGUGCCCAGCCCACCCUAACACUCCGAGGAGCGUUUACGCACGAAGAUGUGAUUAUAGGCUUGGCCUUUGCUCCCAUCUGUCAUGUUUGCCUGGUAUCAUUUAAUAGACCGUACUGUCUGGGUAACAGGCUGGAAACCCUCAAAGUGGAGAAGCUGUGGCUUCCCCAAAUCGGAAACAAAUUCAGGGUAAUAAAGGAAAAUC